GACGAAGGAUGCAAGCGUUAUCCGGAUUCAUUGGGUUUAAAGGGUGCGUAGGCGGACUUGUAAGUCAGUGGUGAAAUCUCUUUGCUUAACAAAGAAACUGCCAUUGAUACUGCAGGUCUAGAGUAUAGAUGACGUUGGCGGAAUAUGACAUGUAGUGGUGAAAUACUUAGAUAUGUCAUAGAACACCGAUCGCGAAGGCAGUCUGCCAAACUAUUACUGACACUGAAACACGAAAGUGCGGGGAUCAAACAGG
rnacentral:rRNA from 1 species